GCACAAAGUCAAACCCCUCCAUGUCCUGCUACCCUGUUUGUGGCCAAAGUGUGACUGCCUCAAACCAUAAGAAGCUUGACAACAUUCUUUUUCCCUUUGGUGUGGUGCCAGCUGAACAGGGCACUACAAAAUGUCCUGAAAGCUGGAGCCUGAAAAAGACAAUGUGCAAUACAGGACAGUUUUGCAACACCGGCUCUAGCUGCAAUGUUGCUUGUAAAAAUAUCAUUUGCUUUCAUGGAAUAUUUUCUGUAUGUGCUGGAAUUUCAAACCCGCUUUUCAUACUGAAGUUUUAAGAUUGUGCUUUCUGGUUCAACUGCUUUCAAUCAGCAGAUACACUCCCAGAACAGAAACAGAAGUGCCGGGAACCAACACCACUCUCUGAGGUACAAUAAGGCUCACCUAAUUGCUUCCUGACUUGCUGAUCCAUCAUCCUGACCCCCUCUUUGAUGUUUUCUUUCUUUAUUUUUCCUUGAGCAUUAGUAACAAGUGAGAAAUGCUGUCUCAGGGUGUUAUAUAUGGGAUUAUUCCUCUAUCCCCAGCACAGUGACCGUAUGUAAUGGGAUUAUCUCUUAUUUAAAAUAAAAAAGACUUGGAAACAUCAAAUCCUGUGUAUGAAAAAGUAGUUUCUUUAUGGUGGUUCCUUUACUUGUAAAAAAAAAAUUCUUUUUUUUGCUUUGUAAUAAUACAUUUAUGUCAGUCAGCAAAACAAACCCAAAUGCUGCAGAAGUCUCCUUUCUGCUAGCUAAAUUUAGCUUGUUCUUCCUCUCCUUCUGUAUAUAUAUUCCUCUAACAUCUAAAGGGCUAUUGCCCCCUUGGAGUACAUUUAUUGCUGGUGUAAACACUGAAAACUGAUGAGGCCAGAUGAUGGAGCCUUCUGCCAAUGUCCAUUCUUAGCCUGCCUUCAUUUCAAAAUACCUGAACUGGUACCAGUUGGUGCCAAAAUUCUGAGGUAUGAAUAUACAGCUAGAAAGGAAGAAAAUGGGCAAUGUGUGUCAGUUAGCACUAAAUGCAUGUUCUGCUUGCUUCAAGGAGAUGUGUGAAUACUUUCACAGUACACAACUGUGGGAGGAGGAGAAACUCCUGGCACAAAUCAAAGAACAAAACAUAGGAGUAUUGGGGAGGGAAAAGAGAGGCCUUUUCUAGAUCUGGGUUAGAUCUGUCACAGUGUCAGUUUCCUUAAGGUUAGGUCUUUUGCAAAGAGAAAUCUAGUUCUGAUUUUUAGACUUGAAAUUUGUGAGAGUUGCCCAGGAGACUCUUUUUUAGGUUCUUUGGCUAAGCUCUUGAACAUUUUCAGAUGUGCUUAAAUCUAAAAAGUAUAAAUGGAGAUGCAAACUUGGAUCAAAAAACCCCAAAUCACAUCAUCAGUAUUUGCUUUGAACUUUCAAGUCUCUUUCUGCCCCUCAUAUUUGCAUAGACACAGGGUUUGAAGUGUAUCAGAUCAGGGGCUCUGGUUGACUGUCCAUCUGAUUGAGAAAUAAGUUAACGUUCCCUCUCAGAACAAGAGUUAUGCCUAGAUUCACCAGCUUUUAUGUACAUUUCCUUUUAAUGGGUGUAUAGAAUAUGCUGCAAAGACCAUUAACUCACACGUUUCUAUCCAAGGCAGCCAUUUCUAUGCUCUGUCACCUCUUUGCUAUCUUGCAAAAAAGCAAGCUGGUCUGCCUUUGAAGGUAACUCCUUACCAUUUCCAUGCCAGUUUUGAGA
rnacentral:lncRNA from 1 species